rnacentral:rRNA from 1 species
UACGGAGGAGGCAAGCGUUUAUCCGGAAUUAUUGGGCGUAAAGCGUCCGCAGGUGGCACCUCAAGUCUGCUGUCAAAGACCGGGGCUUAACCCUGGAAAGGCAGUGGAAACUGAAGCGCUAGAGUGUGGCAGGGGUAGAGGGAAUUCCCGGUGUAGCGGUGAAAUGCGUAGAGAUCGGGAAGAACAUCGGUGGCGAAAGCGCUCUACUGGGCCAUAAC